CCGCCCUGGCCUGAGGGGAGGCGGGCGAUGGCGGGAGGCUCUGCCCCUGCUGCCCCCGGGGCCGCCGGCGGCCCUUUCCGCCGCCCCCGCCUGCCCCCGAGGCCGCCUCGCUGCGCGGGGCUUGGUGCGGCAGCCGGAGCGGGCUCAAGAUGGUUCCUCCCCUCAGCCCCGCGGCGGGAAGGGAGUCGCGGCUGGGGAGAGGCGUCCCGAAGGAAUACAAACGGGGAUCGUCCGGCUGGGGCCGAGCCUCUCGCAGCGGCCCGUUCGCCCAGUAGCGCCGCAGCAAGGCCAGGGUGAGGGCAGAGCAGAAUAAGAGGGUUUACACGGCAAGUUGUGGCUGAAGAGCAGCAGCUUCACUUAGAAAGGGAGGACUGCAACUCUGUGAGUUCUGCAUCUCGACAGAUCCCAAUCCACUGCCUGAACAUGAAGGUUUGUCUUAGGAGUUCCCAAAAGCUCCUCUUGGGAGUGAGCCUCCUCAUCCAAGUGAGUUGGAGUACCCUCACGCCACAUAGUUGUUUCUGUGAUGGAAGCUGCAUUAACUGUUUCAAUGGAGGAAAAAAGUCCUGCCAGCCCCAUGAUUAAUUGAUGAAACCUCA